GAGGGUCCAACCCCAACCCCGACGGAAACUAAGCAGCGAAGUUUACCGAUGUCCUGACCGCAGAUCUCCGGCAGCGGCCGCAAGACAAACAUACCAACGGAAAUAAACGUGUAAAAGUU